AAUAUUGGACAAUGGGGGCAACCCUGAUCCACCCAUGCCGCGUGUGUGAAAAAGGUCUUCGGAUUGUAAAGAACUUUAAGUUGGGAGGAAGGGCUUUAGGUUACACCCCUGAAGUUUUGAGGUUACCACCAGAAAAAGCACGGGCUAACCCGUUGCAGGCAGCCGCGGUAAUACAGAGGUUGCAAGCGUUAAUCGGAAUUACUGGGCGUAAAGCGCGCGUAGGUGGUUCAGUAAGAUGGGUGUGAAAUCCCCGGGCUUAACCUGGGAACUGCUUUCAUAACUGCUGAGCUAGAGUACGGUAGAGGGUAGUGGAAUUUCCUGUGUAGCGGUGAAAUGCGUAGAUAUAGGAAGGAACACCAGUGGCGAAGGCGACUACCUGGACUGAUACUGACACUGAGGUGCGAAAGCGUGGGGAGCAAAC
rnacentral:rRNA from 1 species